GAUGAACGCUAGCGGCAGGCCUAAUACAUGCAAGUCGAACGGUGUCUUCGGACAUAGUGGCGCACGGGUGCGUAACACGUAUGCAACCUACCUUACAUUGGGGGAUAGCCUUUCGAAAGGGAGGUUAAUACCGCAUAAGACAGUAGCUGGGCAUCCAGCAGCUGUUAAAGAUUUAUCGAUGUAAGCUGGGCAUGCGUCCAAUUAGCUAGUUGGUGAGGUAACGGCUCACCAAGGCAAUGAUUGGUAGGGGAACUGAGAGGUCAAUCCCCCACACUGGCACUUAGAUACGGGCCAGACUCCUACGGGAGGCAGCAGUAGGGAAUAUUGGGCAAAGGACGCAAGUCUGACCCAGCCAUGCCGCGUGCAGGAUGAAGGCGUUAUGCGUUGUAAACUGCUUUUAUACAGGAAGAAACGACUCUUGCGAGAGGCAUUGACGGUACUGUAUGAAUAAGCACCGGCUAACUCCGUGCCAGCCGCCGCAGUAA
rnacentral:rRNA from 1 species